rnacentral:lncRNA from 1 species
UCUAACCUUCUUUCUGCACUGACUAGUGUUACCUUUCAUUCCUUCUUCCUCUCUUUUUUAAGUUGUUCUUCAUCUCUUUGUUGUUUUCUCUGUUAGGUUUGUUUGCUUUUUUUACUAAUGUAUAUAGUUCCCCUUCUUUCUGGUGGUUGCUUAACGUGGUAUUUCUUGUACCCUAGCAUCAUCGCUAUAUGUGUUUCGGGAGUUUUUUUUCUUUUACAUUUUUC